CGGGGAGGGGCUGCGGGGGGCGGAAGGCGACUCCACCGCGGGAGGAGAGGGAAGAAAGGGUGAGUUUACGAGGCUAAACUCUGUGGAAAAGGAAGAGAAUACGUUCGUUGGAAAAUUAUCUGCUGGCGGGCAUCUCCCCUGGGGCUGACUUGCCACUGCCACCUCAUUUCUUUCCUUGUCAUUUGGAGACGGAAAGGCCCGGGGAAAGAUGCUGCGAGGUCCAGGAUGCCCAGGUGCGCGGGACAGACGCAGUUCAUUGCGGCCCCAUCUAGCACGUACGCACUUUCCUUGUUGCCUGUAUCCUGUAAAUCGUCAUCAGUGUAGCUAAUUUUAAUCCUUCACCAAAAAAGAAAGAAAGAAAAAAAACGACAUCCGGUUUCGAACCUCAUUCAGGAAUCACUCAGUCUUUGCAAACCUUUGAUUUUUCACUCAGGCAAGUGCAGCAAAGAGCUUAGGGGUUUCACAGGAUUCGGAUUACAGGGUACAGUGUUAAUUUGGUGGAGUAGGGGACACAGGAAGGCAAGGCUGGGUCUGUUGUUUUUGUAUCAUUCCAAACCAAAGGGACCCAAUGAACCAGAGUGCCACAGCUAGUCCCAAAGAACUAGUCUCUGGGGCCCUCCCAGAGAGACCCAAAGGAGGGGGUCUUCAGACAACUGAAGAAGGUGCAAAGUUCUAAUGCUCUCCUAAUACUUUGUCCAGACAGGGACUUGGCUCAGUUGACUAGGCUGGGCUGCUAGACUCACGUGACCCUCAUAAGCAGCUGGGACUGCAGCACCACUACCCCUAGCCUCACCUUAUUUCUGCCACAGUGUAGUAGCAAUUUCUGCUGCUCUUAGUGAACAUCAGAAAGAAAAAAAAAAAAAAAACACCCUGGUGUUUGAAUCUCUUUCUACCCCAGCUAAAUUUUCUUCUUUGCCCCAAUAAGGCUGACUAGGUUGAGCUCAUCAACACAUAUAGAAACUAAUUUGGGUAUUGAAACCAAACCCUCCUCCAAAAACAGUCUAUUAACAGAUAUAUUUAUAUGCCAGGUACUGGGCUAUGCACUGCAGUGGUCUAUUCCAUGUUGAAGGACAUGGGAAAAAUGAAUCAUGACAUAAAAAGGCAAACUCAAAAAAUGUGCAUAAUACGCUGUCACUUGUAGGGCUGGGGUUGUGGCUCAGUGGUAGAGUGCUUGCCUAGCAUGUGUGAGGCUCUGGGUUCGAUUCUCAGCAAUAAGUAAAUAAAUAAAGGUCGAUCGACAACUAAAAGAAAAUUUAAAUAUGCUGUCACUUGUAAAAAGAACAGCAUAUUCAUUUGUAAAUUCAUUUAUACAUAGAAAAACUUUGGAAGAAUACAUAAG
rnacentral:lncRNA from 1 species